GAUGAACGCUAGCGGCAGGCCUAAUACAUGCAAGUCGAGGGGCAGCAUGAAGUAGCAAUUCUUUGAUGGCGACCGGCAAACGGGUGCGGAACACGUACACAACCUUCCUUUAAGUGGGGAAUAGCUUCGAGAAAUUUGGAUUAAUACCCCGUAACACAAUGAAGUGCCAUCAUUUUGUUGUUAUAGUUUCGUUGCUUAAUGAUAGGUGUGCGUCUGAUUAGAUUGUUGGCGAGGUAACGGCAAACCAAGUCUACGACCAUUAGCUGAUGUGAGGGCAGGAUCAACCGCACGGGCACUGAGACACGGACCCGACUCGUACGGGAGGCAGCAGUAAGGAAUAUUGUUCAAGGGACGCAAGUCUGAACCAGCCAUGCCGCGUGAAGGAUUAAUGUCCUCUGAAUUCUAAACUACUAUGAAAGAGGACAAAAAAAAGUCUUUCUAGACCCCUUGACGGUACCAUAUGAAUAAGCACCGGCUAACUCCGUG
rnacentral:rRNA from 1 species